GGGUUAGUAGGUCGGUCAUGCCACUGGUAUGUACUGGUCUCACUGAUUCCUCCUUCCUGAUGAACCGUAAUGCCAUUAAUUUGGUGUUGCGGGGAGACUGGACUGUUACUUUGAAAAAAUUAGAGUGUUUAAAGCAGGCUAACGCUUGAAUACAUUAGCAUGGAAUAAUGAAAUAGGACGUUCGAUCCUAUUUUGUUGGUUUCUAGGAUUGACGUA
rnacentral:rRNA from 1 species